rnacentral:rRNA from 1 species
AUUGAACGCUGGCGGCAUGCUUUACACAUGCAAGUCGAACGGCAGCACGGAGAGCUUGCUCUCUGGUGGCGAGUGGCGAACGGGUGAGUAAUGCAUCGGAACGUACCGAGUAAUGGGGGAUAACUGUCCGAAAGGAUGGCUAAUACCGCAUACGCCCUGAGGGGGAAAGCGGGGGAUCUUAGUGACCUCGCGUUAUUUGAGCGGCCGAUGUUGGAUUAGCUAGUUGGUGGGGUAAAGGCCUACCAAGGCGACGAUCCAUAGCGGGUCUGAGAGGAUGAUCCGCCACAUUGGGACUGAGACACGGCCCAAACUCCUACGGGAGGCAGCAGUGGGGAAUUUUGGACAAUGGGGGGAACCCUGAUCCAGCCAUGCCGCGUGUCUGAAGAAGGCCUUCGGGUUGUAAAGGACUUUUGUUAGGGAAGAAAAGCCGGGUGUUAAUACCACCAGGUGCUGACGGUACCUAAAGAAUAAGCACCGGCUAACUACGUGCCAGCAGCCGCGGUAAUACGUAGGGUGCGAGCGUUAAUCGGAAUUACUGGGCGUAAAGCGAGCGCAGACGGUUAAUUAAGUCAGAUGUGAAAUCCCCGAGCUCAACUUGGGACGUGCAUUUGAAACUGGAUAACUAGAGUGUGUCAGAGGGAGGUAGAAUUCCACGUGUAGCAGUGAAAUGCGUAGAGAUGUGGAGGAAUACCGAUGGCGAAGGCAGCCUCCUGGGAUAACACUGACGUUCAUGCUCGAAAGCGUGGGUAGCAAACAGGAUUAGAUACCCUGGUAGUCCACGCCCUAAACGAUGACAAUUAGCUGUUGGGACACUAGAUGUCUUAGUAGCGAAGCUAACGCGUGAAAUUGUCCGCCUGGGGAGUACGGUCGCAAGAUUAAAACUCAAAGGAAUUGACGGGGACCCGCACAAGCGGUGGAUGAUGUGGAUUAAUUCGAUGCAACGCGAAGAACCUUACCUGGUCUUGACAUGUACGGAAUCUCUUAGAGAUAGGAGAAUGCCUUCGGGAACCGUAACACAGGUGCUGCAUGGCUGUCGUCAGCUC